UCCGAAUUGGUGUAGUGGCUAACAUUUGACGCUCUCAUCAUUUGAAUUGAAUUCGAUUCAUUCACUUGAAGGUGCCGUCAAGCCCGGGGUUCGAUUCCCCGAUUCGGAG